rnacentral:tRNA from 1 species
CCAUGGAUUUGCUGAGUGGUAAAGCACUUGGCUUCCAAAGUGGGGGAUCCCAGGUUCAAAUCCUGGUUUUGGGA